rnacentral:rRNA from 1 species
AACGAACGCUGGCGGCAUGCCUAACACAUGCAAGUCGAACGAGACCUUCGGGUCUAGUGGCGCACGGGUGCGUAACGCGUGGGAACCUGCCCUUAGGUUCGGAAUAACUCCCCGAAAGGGGUGCUAAUACCGGAUAAUGUCUUCGGACCAAAGAUUUAUCGCCUUUGGAUGGGCCCGCGUUGGAUUAGCUAGUUGGUAGAGUAAAAGCCUACCAAGGCGACGAUCCAUAGCUGGUCUGAGAGGAUGAUCAGCCACACUGGGACUGAGACACGGCCCAGACUCCUACGGGAGGCAGCAGUGGGGAAUAUUGGACAAUGGGCGAAAGCCUGAUCCAGCAAUGCCGCGUGAGUGAUGAAGGCCUUAGGGUCGUAAAGCUCUUUUACCCGGGAUGAUAAUGACAGUACCGGGAGAAUAAGCUCCGGCUAACUCCGUG